CUCGUAGGCGGUUUGUCGCGUCGGGAGUGAAAACGCCGUGCUUAACACGGCGCUUGCUUUCGAUACGGGCAGACUAGAGGUAUUCAGGGGAGAACGGAAUUCCUGGUGUAGCGGUGAAAUGCGCAGAUAUCAGGAGGAACACCGGUGGCGAAGGCGGUUCUCUGGGAAUGACCUGACGCUGAGGAGCGAAAGUGUGGGGAGCGAACA
rnacentral:rRNA from 1 species